rnacentral:lncRNA from 1 species
GGAGAAAAGGAUCCCUGGAAAAAGGCUGUUCACUGAAGAUUAAUGCAGACACUUGAAGAUGAAUUUGAACCAUUUGGAUUUCUGGGUAUGGUUCGUGCAAUCCCUGCCCAGGGACCACGUCUGAAGCUGGGGCAUGAAAUGAGAAGAGAAACCCAAAUCUAAAGGACUGAAUUGGAAUGAGUGGGUCCAAGGUGUGGCAAUGUGUCUAAAUCCACGCUGAAAUCUAAUCCUACCUUGGUUAACAUAACAGAGAGAACAGGAAGCGCUGUGAAGGAAUUUUUCAUUCCCUGGGACGUCUUUGAUCCCGCUCCCCUCCCUUUUCCUAUCAGAUCCCUUUCGGUGCCUUUCUCCAUAGGGAAUUCCUGGCUCUGUGCAAGGAGCUCAGACACCUUUCCCAGGAGAAAACUCCAGCAGGUUUGGAACACAAUCUUCCCUGAACGGAUCAGCACCUGGAGCUCUCCCGUGGAUGAGCAAAAGGGAUUAAUGAAUUUUCAUUAUUUGCCAACACAAAGUCAUAUCCUAGAGGUGACAACAUCCAGAAUUUUCCAUCUGACCCACCCAACCUUUCAGAUCUUCCAGCUGUUCCAAGGGCUUUGUUGGGUUAAGUGCAGAAAGGGCUGGAGGCAAAGCUGUGUUUUGUACUCCACCAUAUCGCUUCCAUAGACCAGUUAAAGGUGUAAAUAAUAGAAACAACUUCUUUCAAAACUGCAAUUAAAAAAGAGGGGGGGAAAAAAAAAAAUCUCAGAGUAAUUAAACUUAAUUUUGUUUCUAAUUAGAUGCUGGUUCUAGAAACCAGUCCAGAGCUACUCUUUGCAUGGUGUUUGCAAGUUCUCUUUACCAGAUGAGCUCCUGGAGUGACAAGUGGAGAUCUAAUAAACCUCCUGAUCCUGCUCUGCCCCUGUGAUAA